GUGGGUGUCGUCGAGAAUUAAGGAGUCGAUGGUGAUGCAAGGAACAUGAUUUAGACAGGUUCGGGCCGCCAGAUCACGUAAUUCCCUUACAUCCUGUGUCUUGGUUGUAUUGAACUUGUGUCGAGUUGCACUUGUUGUUUGGAGGGGGUCCCUGCUCGCCCUUAUAUAGUCGGGGGAGCAGGAUUACAGGGCACGAGUCCUAGUCGAGUACGUUACAGAGUCCUACUCUAACUCGGUAGAGUAGUUUCCUUUGGACCCGACUAGUCUUCAGGGGGUCCAUGAAGCCUACGCGCCCUGUAGAGUAGUCUUCAUGGCCGAGCAGGUUUCGGAUACGUUCCCUUGAGCGGGUCUGUACAAGUCUUUUGGUGGGCCCGAGAGUGUCCAGCCGACACCCACCACCCCCUCCGUCGGCUCCCACCUACUCACCCACCAUCGCCAUUGCUGCCUCACCUUGCCCCGCCGCUCCUCCUUACUACCGGUGAGGGGCGAGCGGAGGGGGGACGGGAGGGGAGGCAGAGGAGGAGAGCUCAAGAGUGUGAGGAUUGAGAGAGAUAGAGAAGAGACGGACCGGAGAGAGACAGAAAGUGAGGAGAUAAGAAGACGGAUGGAUGGGAGAGAGAGAGAGGAUAAGAAGCCGCAGGGGUCUGUGAGAGAGAGGGGAGGAGGGCCCGACGGAUGGGAGCUUUAGUAUCGGGUGGAAGGUUCACCUGGUACUAAAGGGGGUCACAGGGACCAUCUCGGAAACUAUCCAUUAGGCUCGGUACUGCUGCUCUUAUUAGUACCGGAUCAAAAUAUAACCGAAACUGAAUCUCGGGAUGAAUGCUCUAAGCAGUGAUCCCAGCACGGUGACACGUUGUUCUUCGAUUUGCGUCCUGUCUCUCUUCUCCUCCCAUCCGUGCCUGCCGGCCUGCGUAUCCGCCGCUGCACACCUCUCUCACCUAUCGC
rnacentral:lncRNA from 1 species